UACGAAGGGUGCAAGCGUUAACCGGAAUUACUGGGCGUAAAGCGUGCGUAGGCGGUUUGUUAAGUCUGUUGUGAAAUCCCCGGGCUCAACCUGGGAAUGGCAAUGGAUACUGGCAGGCUAGAGUGUGUCAGAGGAUGGUGGAAUUCCCGGUGUAGCGGUGAAAUGCGUAGAGAUCGGGAGGAACAUCAGUGGCGAAGGCGGCCAUCUGGGACAACACUGACGCUGAGGCACGAAAGCGUGGGGAGCAAACAGG
rnacentral:rRNA from 1 species